rnacentral:tRNA from 1 species
GCGGGAGUAAUUCAAUGGUAGAAUAUCAGCUUCCCAAGCUGGUAACGCGGGUUCGAUUCCCGUCUCCCGCUCCA